UACGGAGGGUGCUAGCGUUGUUCGGAAUUACUGGGCGUAAAGGGCGCGUAGGCGGCCGUUUGCGUCGGAUGUGAAAGCCCGGGGCUCAACCUCGGAACGGCAUUCGAUACGGGACGGCUGGAGACCGGGAGAGGAGAGUGGAAUAGCCAGUGUAGAGGUGAAAUUCGUAGAUAUUGGCUGGAACACCGGUGGCGAAAGCGGCUCUCUGGCGCGGUUCUGACGCUGAGGCGCGAAAGCGUGGGGAGCAAACAGG
rnacentral:rRNA from 1 species